rnacentral:rRNA from 1 species
CAGUAGCCACGGUAAUACGAAGGGGGCUAGCGUUGUUCGGAUUUACUGGGCGUAAAGCGCACGUAGGCGGAUCGAUCAGUCAGGGGUGAAAUCCCAGAGCUCAACUCUGGAACUGCCUUUGAUACUGUCGAUCUGGAGUAUGGAAGAGGUGAGUGGAAUUCCGAGUGUAGAGGUGAAAUUCGUAGAUAUUCGGAGGAACACCAGUGGCGAAGGCGGCUCACUGGUCCAUUACUGACGCUGAGGUGCGAAAGCGUGGGGAGCAAACAGGAUUAGAUACCCCAGUAGUCCCUGUCUCUUAUAA